GUCCACGCUGUAAACGAUGGAUGCUAGCCGUCAGCAAGCAUGCUUGUUGGUGGCGCAGCUAACGCAUUAAGCAUCCCGCAUGGGGAGUACGGCCGCAAGGUUAAAACUCAAAGGAAUUGACGGGGGCCCCGCACAAGCGGUGGAGCAUGUGGUUUAAUUCGACGCAACGCGAAGAACCUUACCAACCCUUGACAUGCCCGGUCGGUUUCCAGAGAUGGAUUCCUCCUAGCAAUGGGCCGGAGCACAGGUGCUGCAUGGCUGUCGU
rnacentral:rRNA from 1 species